rnacentral:rRNA from 1 species
GAUGAACGCUGGCGGCGUGCCUAAUACAUGCAAGUCGAGCGAAUGGAUUAAGAGCUUGCUCUUAUGAAGUUAGCGGCGGACGGGUGAGUAACACGUGGGUAACCUGCCCAUAAGACUGGGAUAACUCCGGGAAACCGGGGCUAAUACCGGAUAACAUUUUGAACCGCAUGGUUCGAAAUUGAAAGGCGGCUUCGGCUGUCACUUAUGGAUGGGCCCGCGUCGCAUUAGCUAGUUGGUGAGGUAACGGCUCACCAAGGCAACGAUGCGUAGCCGACGUGAGAGGGUGCGCGGCCACACUGGGACUGAGACACGGCCCAGACUCCUACGGGAGGCAGCAGUAGGGAAUCUUCCGCAAUGGACGAAAGUCUGACGGAGCAACGCCGCGUGAGUGAUGAAGGCUUUCGGGUCGUAAAACUCUGUUGUUAGGGAAGAACAAGUGCUAGUUGAAUAAGCUGGCACCUUGACGGUACCUAACCAGAAAGCCACGGCUAACUACGUGCCAGCCGCCGCUGUAA